rnacentral:rRNA from 1 species
CAAGUCGAGCGGUAACAGAGAGUAGCUUGAUACUCUGCUGACGAGCGGCGGACGGGUGAGUAAUGCUUGGGAAUGUACCUUAUGGUGGGGGACAACAGUUGGAAACGACUGCUAAUACCGCAUAAUGUCUUCGGACCAAAGCGGGGGACCUUCGGGCCUCGCGCCAUAAGAUCAGCCCAAGUGGGAUUAGCUAGUUGGUGAGGUAAUGGCUCACCAAGGCGACGAUCCCUAGCUGGUUUGAGAGGAUGAUCAGCCACACUGGGACUGAGACACGGCCCAGACUCCUACGGGAGGCAGCAGUGGGGAAUAUUGCACAAUGGGCGCAAGCCUGAUGCAGCCAUGCCGCGUGUGUGAAGAAGGCCUUCGGGUUGUAAAGCACUUUCAGUAAGGAGGAAAGGUUGGAUGUUAAUAGCAUUCAGCUGUGACGUUACUUACAGAAGAAGCACCGGCUAACUCCGUGCCAGC